GGAAUAUAAAUCUGAUGUUUUCUUGAGUGAGUGGGGAGUUUGUUUGGAAUACUUUGUUGUUGAUUUUCUUUGCCACCCUCUACUGGAAGGACGAAGAAUAGAAUUUAAGGAAUUUUCAAUACUGCAAUGAUGAUAUAGCUCUGCUGGAUUACCGUGCCCCCUUGUUGGCAGAUGAGUGUGUGAGCUCAUUUUUCAGAGGUGAAAGAGAGAAGGCCGCUGUCCUGGAUGUGGCCUCUGCACAUUAAUAACCUGGAAUACAAGGCUGAGCUGGAGCAGAUGAUCAAAGCACUCGAGGACGAGCAGAAAUGGAGCUGUGUGACUGUAGUUGAGGUGGAGGAGUUGAAAAAGGCUGUUUCAGAACAGGACAGCGGGUACGUUCCAGGUGCCAUUUAUUUGUAUCAGAAAAGUUUUAGAUGCAAUCCAUGAUUUUAGGAUCACACAAAAAUAACCCGGUGACUAUAUGUUCUCACGAAUCCGUGCAGCUUAUUCCACCAAUAGGUGGUGGUAUUUUUUUGGAAAUCAUAGUAUCAGUUGUUUUGAAAAUACCUUUGUUCUCCAGAGAAGCUCCUGACAGAGAAAAGUUCAAACGUGAUCUAUCUGUUUGUAUUGGCACCAAAUUAUUUAACCUGGCACUGGUACACAAUGCAUUCACUUGAAAAACUUUACAGUGUACAAGUAAAGUCCAUGAACCUAAAGGAUUUUGUAAGAAAAUAUUAAAGGUGUGUGGUUACAAAUCUGCCUUUCCCUAGUUACAUCUAACCUAUCAGUUUGCCACUCCUCGAUACUCUGACCGCUAAACUUUCGAAAUUGUUAUUUACGCUGCUGUCAUGCGACAAAUAAAACACACAAACAGAU